UACGUAGGGUGCGAGCGUUGUCCGGAAUUAUUGGGCGUAAAGGGCUCGUAGGCGGUUUGUCGCGUCGGGAGUGAAAACCUUGGGCUUAACUCAGGGCUUGCUUUCGAUACGGGCAGACUAGAGGUAUGCAGGGGAGAACGGAAUUCCUGGUGUAGCGGUGAAAUGCGCAGAUAUCAGGAGGAACACCGAUGGCGAAGGCAGGUCUCUGGGCCGAUACUGACGCUGAGGAGCGAAAGCGUGGGGAGCGAACAGG
rnacentral:rRNA from 1 species